rnacentral:rRNA from 1 species
UGGGGAAUUUUGCACAAUGGGCGCAAGCCUGAUGCAGCGACGCCGCGUGAGGGAUGAAGGCCUUCGGGUUGUAAACCUUUUUCGCUCAUGGUCAAGCCGCAGCUUUGGGUUGUGGUGAGGGUAGUGGGUAAAGAAGCGCCGGCUAACUACGUGCCAGCAGCCGCGGUAAUACGUAGGGCGCGAGCGUUGUCCGGAAUUAUUGGGCGUAAAGGGCUUGUAGGCGGUUGGCCGCGUCUGCCGUGAAAUCCUCUGGCUUAACUGGGGGCGUGCGGUGGGUACGGGUUGACUUGAGUGCGGUAGGGGAGACUGGAAUUCCUGGUGUAGCGGUGGAAUGCGCAGAUAUCAGGAGGAACACCGGUGGCGAACGCGGGUCUCUGGGCCGUUACUGACGCUGAGGAGCGAAAGCGUGGGGAGCGAACAGG